GCCGGGAUAGCUCAUUUGGUA
rnacentral:tRNA from 1 species